GACGAACGCUGGCGGCGUGCUUAACACAUGCCAGUCGAACGGAAAGGCCCUGCUUUUGUGGGGUGCUCGAGUGGCGAACGGGUGAGUAACACGUGAGUAACCUGCCCUUGACUUUGGGAUAACUUCAGGAAACUGGGGCUAAUACCGGAUAGGAGCUCCUGCUGCAUGGUGGGGGUUGGAAAGUUUCGGCGGUUGGGGAUGGACUCGCGGCUUAUCAGCUUGUUGGUGGGGUAGUGGCUUACCAAGGCUUUGACGGGUAGCCGGCCUGAGAGGGUGACCGGCCACAUUGGGACUAAGAUACGGCCCAGACUCCUACGGGAGGCAGCAGUGGGGAAUAUUGCACAAUGGGCGGAAGCCUGAUGCAGCAACGCCGCGUGCGGAAUGACGGCCUUCGGGUGGUAAACCGCUUUCGCCUGUGACGAAGCGUGAGUGACGGAAAUGGGUAAAGAAGCACCGGCUAACUACGU
rnacentral:rRNA from 1 species